AUGGAUAACGUCAGGAAGACGUUCAUCAGGAUGAUGUUUCGCGCACAGGAAGAGGCGCAAACAGGAUUGCUUCAGGAUGAAGCAAAAGUUCCAGGAUGGAAUAAAGGGACACCUCCAGGAAGGAGAAUGAGAGCCAGACAGGAUGACUGGCGGGCCAGGACGCUAAAGGAAAAUCGUCAGGAAGGCGAGAAUGUCAGGAAGACAGCAGGGAAAAGUUUUCAAGGACGAGCAGGGAGCGUUGAAGUAGCCGGAUAGCUGCAAACGAACCGGGGGCACUGUAUAACAGUGCCCCCUUUUUUUA
rnacentral:other from 1 species